AUUGAACGCUGGCGGCAGGCCUAACACAUGCAAGUCGAGCGGAUGAGAGGAGCUUGCUUCUUGAUUCAGCGGCGGACGGGUGAGUAAUGCCUAGGAAUCUGCCUGGUAGUGGGGGACAACGUUUCGAAAGGAACGCUAAUACCGCAUACGUCCUACGGGAGAAAGCAGGGGACCUUCGGGCCUUGCGCUAUCAGAUGAGCCUAGGGCGGAUUAGCUAGUUGGUGAGGUAAUGGCUCACCAAGGCGACGAUCCGUAACUGGUCUGAGAGGAUGAUCAGUCACACUGGAGCUGAGACACGGUCCAGACUCCUACGGGAGGCAGCAGUGGGGAAUAUUGGACAAUGGGCGAAAGCCUGAUCCAGCCAUGCCGCGUGUGUGAAGAAGGUCUUCGGAUUGUAAAGCACUUUAAGUUGGGAGGAAGGGUUGUACGUUAAUACCGUGCAAUUUUGACGUUACCGACAGAAUAAGCACCGGCUAACUCUGUGCCAGCCGCCGCCGUAA
rnacentral:rRNA from 1 species